rnacentral:lncRNA from 1 species
AGACAACCUGUCCCUAGAUUUGUUGUAUUUUAGGUCCAUGUUAUGGCAAACUAAUGGGCUUAGUCACCUGUUUGAUGGACAUCUCUUUCUUUUCAAAGGAUGGAUCUGCUCUUAAGUAAAGCUUUGCAAAAGCUGUGAAGUGCUGCAUCGAAGCUCUUGAAUUUGGACCAUUUCCAGGCCUGACGUCCAGAAACUCUUCCCUAUGGGUGGUAAAUUUAAAGAGGUAAGCUCUUUCAAGUGUCCUGGAGGAAGAGUGGAAGAACAAAUCAUAGCUGAGUACUUGAAGCUGCUGUGGAAGAUGCCAGAUUUGUCAAGCCCCAGGGUGCAGGGCUGGCUUGGCUGACACCAGACACUGCGUAGAGUCCCCUGGUUUACUAGAAUUGUCUCCUUAUAUGAAAUAUGCUGCUUCGCUUGGGUGAGGAGGAAAGCAGAAUGCCCUGUGUCAAGAGCACUUAUUAUGAAAAGCUCUUGAACUUGCAGUACAUCAAAAAGUCUGGGUAAACUUAUCCAGCCUUUUAAUUAGCAGGACGCCAGCUUUUUAGGGUGUAUUGCUUUGGCUGCAAGCAGCGUUCUGACUGGCUUGCAGUAGGGAGGUGGUAACGUGUUUAGGCGUUGGGGCUUUUUGGGCUUUUUUGGAUGGGGGGUGGGGGAAGGGAAAGCAAAUCAUGUUGUGGCAAAUCAGAAGAAGAACUAAUUAUGCAUAUGUAUUUCAUUACAGCCCUGGGCUGGCUUAUUCCUAAUCCUGAGAGUCUGCUCGUCCUCCUUCACGUGGGGGACCAUGUACAGCUAGGACCUGUUGACCCAUUAAAAGAGAACUUUAAAGGCUGGAUGCAAAGGAGGAAGCGUAGUAAAGGCAGCAUCUUUCCAGG